rnacentral:rRNA from 1 species
AUUGAACGCUGGCGGCAUGCCUUACACAUGCAAGUCGAACGGUAACAGGUCUUCGGAUGCUGACGAGUGGCGAACGGGUGAGUAAUACAUCGGAACGUGCCUAGUAGUGGGGGAUAACUACUCGAAAGAGUGGCUAAUACCGCAUGAGAUCUACGGAUGAAAGCAGGGGAUCGCAAGACCUUGUGCUACUAGAGCGGCCGAUGGCAGAUUAGGUAGUUGGUGGGAUAAAAGCUUACCAAGCCGACGAUCUGUAGCUGGUCUGAUAGGACGAUCAGCCAAACUAGGACUGGGACACGGCCCAGAUUCCUACGGGAGGCAGAAGUGGGGAAUUUUGGACAAUGGGCGCAAGCCUGAUCCAGCAAUGCCGCGUGCAGGAUGAAGGCCUUCGGGUUGUAAACUGCUUUUGUACGGAACGAAAAGCCCUGGGUUAAUACCCUGGGGUCAUGACGGUACCGUAAGAAUAAGCACCGGCUAACUACGUGCCAGCCGCCGCCGUAACAC